rnacentral:rRNA from 1 species
GAUGAACGCUGGCGGCGUGCCUAAUACAUGCAAGUAGAACGCUGAAGGAAGGAGCUUGCUCUUUCCGGAUGAGUUGCGAACGGGUGAGUAACGCGUAGGUAACCUGCCUGGUAGCGGGGGAUAACUAUUGGAAACGAUAGCUAAUACCGCAUAACAGUAGAUGUUGCAUGAUAUCUACUUAAAAGGUGCAAUUGCACCACUACCAGAUGGACCUGCGUUGUAUUAGCUAGUUGGUGAGGUAACGGCUCACCAAGGCGACGAUACAUAGCCGACCUGAGAGGGUGAUCGGCCACACUGGGACUGAGACACGGCCCAGACUCCUACGGGAGGCAGCAGUAGGGAAUCUUCGGCAAUGGACGGAAGUCUGACCGAGCAACGCCGCGUGAGUGAAGAAGGUUUUCGGAUCGUAAAGCUCUGUUGUAAGAGAAGAACGAGUGUGAGAGUGGAAAGUUCACACUGUGACGGUAUCUUACCAGAAAGGGACGGCUAACUACAUG